rnacentral:rRNA from 1 species
AUACGUAGGGGGCGAGCGUUGUCCGGAAUUACUGGGCGUAAAGGGUGCGUAGGCGGCCGAUUAAGUUGGAUGUGAAAUACCCGGGCUUAACCUGGGGGGUGCAUCCAAUACUGGUUGGCUAGAGUGCAGGAGAGGGAAGCGGAAUUCCUAGUGUAGCGGUGAAAUGCGUAGAUAUUAGGAGGAACACCAGUGGCGAAGGCGGCUUUCUGGACUGUAACUGACGCUGAUGCACGAAAGCGUGGGGAGCAAACAGGAUUAGAUACCCUGGUAGUCCACGCUGUAAACGAUGAAUACUAGGUGUAGGGGGUAUCAACUCCCCCUGUGCCGGAGCUAACGCAAUAAGUAUUCCGCCUGGGGAGUACGGCCGCAAGGUUGAA